GUAGGGAAUCUUCCGCAAUGGGCGAAAGCCUGACGGAGCAACGCCGCGUGAGUGAUGAAGGUUUUCGGAUCGUAAAGCUCUGUUGCCAGGGAAGAACGUCCGGUAGAGUAACUGCUACCGGAGUGACGGUACCUGAGAAGAAAGCCCCGGCUAACUACGUGCCAGCAGCCGCGGUAAUACGUAGGGGGCAAGCGUUGUCCGGAAUUAUUGGGCGUAAAGCGCGCGCAGGCGGCUAUUUAAGUCUGGUGUUUAAACCUUGGGCUCAACCUGAGGUCGCACUGGAAACUGGGUGGCUUGAGUACAGAAGAGGAAAGUGGAAUUCCACGUGUAGCGGUGAAAUGCGUAGAGAUGUGGAGGAACACCAGUGGCGAAGGCGACUUUCUGGGCUGUAACUGACGCUGAGGCGCGAAAGCGUGGGGAGCAAACAGGAUUAGAUACCCGGGUAGUCC
rnacentral:rRNA from 1 species